rnacentral:lncRNA from 1 species
UUUUUAAAGCCAUACCUUCUGCAGAAUGUAAAUUAGAAGUUUACCUUUCCUUCGUGCCACUUGUCUUUAUUCGUAUUGUGUAUUUCUUCUAAAAGAAAUGUCAUGCCAUUAUGUAUAGAAGAAACACAAUAGAGCAUACAGACAAAGCAUCAGCAAAUUUGAAAAACCAGAAUACAAACAUUGUAAUAGAACAAUAACACAAUC